UAAAAGAUCCAAUUUCUAGCAAGUGCAGAUGGAAAUGCUAUUUGAGUUACUGUCAUGCCUCUGGUCCCACCAAAAGGAUGCAUCUGUGCUGAGCCAGAGCAAUCAAGGAGGGGUCAGAGGGAUGUCCUCCAGGAGACAUGGAUCUUCUGAAUCCAAGAAAGAGGUCGAACAACUCGUAGAGUGGGGCUUUGCAGGGCCUCUUGGUACACAGUGCUGACCAUCAGGGGUUCAGAACAUGAAGCACAGUCCUUGGUUCUGGAUGUUUUCUGAACCAUAGAGUAUAACCAUUUUCCCUCUGCGUAUCAAACCUUGGGCUCUGGCUUCAGGAAGAGGAUCAUCCCACAGGAUGACUGUGCAGUGUGUUCAUUCUGUAAUUGUACCUCCAAAUGAAAUGGAAGAGGGCCAAUGGUCUCUGAGCAGACCACUGUCGUUCCUCAUAGACCUGUACUUUCGCAGGGUGUCUUCAUGGCAGCAGCCUCUGCCUCCCAGGCAGCUGCAUUGUUCUCACUGGUCUGGUGCAAGCAGUUUCCAAUGAUCAGAACAUAAGGACAGUUUUCUCCUCAAUACCAGCUUUUUUCUUUUCCAGACUGUUUACUAAAAUGCUUGCUUUAAAUAUAUGUGUCCCUCCUUAAUUUAUUGAUCCACGGGAGAAAACUGCAUUGUGUCUGAAACAGUAAGGCAAUCUAAGGUGGGGGAUGAUCAAAUAAAUUAUAACGAGAGUGUCAGAGGCAUUCCAGAUCCCGCACCCUCUUCAGAUGUCAGUACACCACAAGAACCAAGCAGAAGCAGGAAGUGAGUGUUGAAAGCCCAUGUGAUGCUCUUGAAGGAGGAAUCAGAGGGAUUUCCUCCAGGGAACACAGAUCAUCUGAAUCCAAGGAAGCACCUGCAGCAGCUCUUCCCUGUCCUGCUGGACACAGAUUUUUAAUUUGGUCAAACCUAAAUUUCCAAGAUGAACUCAUCUAUUGCAACUAUCCACUUGCUGAGGCACUCUCCAUUUCCCAGAAUGUGUCCCAGACCUGGAACCAGUUCCAUUGCUGAGGCACCACAUUUCUCACCUGCUGAUUGCAAUUAGCCACUGCCAGCUGGGGCCUGGUGAGCUGCUGAAGAGCUAACAAGAAACAGCAUGAGGCCUCGGCAGUGUGUAUGCUCUGAAUGAACAAGGUGCUGAGUUCCUGAUGUGGCUCCACCACAAAACAAGGUGCCCACAUCCUCAUCUAUGUGUCAAAAUCUGCUUUUGGAGGCUCAGCUUGCUCCUCAAGCUCUUACACAUUACCAUCACAUGUUUGCCAGAGAGGAAAUGUGGGGAAAUAAAGGUUAUUACAGGUAAAA